GACGAACGCUGGCGGCGUGCUUAACACAUGCAAGUCGAACGGAAAGGCCCUGCUUUUGUGGGGUGCUCGAGUGGCGAACGGGUGAGUAACACGUGAGUAACCUGCCCUUGACUUUGGGAUAACUUCAGGAAACUGGGGCUAAUACCGGAUAGGAGCUCCUGCUGCAUGGUGGGGGUUGGAAAGUUUCGGCGGUUGGGGAUGGACUCGCGGCUUAUCAGCUUGUUGGUGGGGUAGUGGCUUACCAAGGCUUUGACGGGUAGCCGGCCUGAGAGGGUGACCGGCCACAUUGGGUCUGGGCUACGACCCAGACUCCUACCGGAGGCAGCAGUGGGGAAUAUUGCACAAUGGGCGGAAGCCUGAUGCAGCAACGCCGCGUGCGGGAUAACGGCCUUCGGUUUGUAAACCGCUUUCGCCUGUGACGAAGCGUGAGUGACGGUAAUGGGUAAAGAAGCCCCGGCUAACUACGUG
rnacentral:rRNA from 1 species